UACGUAGGGUGCGAGCGUUGUCCGGAAUUAUUGGGCGUAAAGGGCGCGUAGGCGGUUUGGACAGUCAGAUGUGAAAUUCCCGGGCUCAACCUGGGGGGCUGCACUUGAUACGUAUGGACUGGAGUGGGGAAGAGGGUCGUGGAAUUCCCAGUGUAGAGGUGAAAUUCGUAGAUAUCGGGAGGAACACCAGUGGCGAAGGCGGCGAUCUGGGAAGAUACUGACGCUGAGGCACGAAAGCUAGGGUAGCGAACGGG
rnacentral:rRNA from 1 species